UGUCUCCUCUCCGGUGCCCAAAAUCUUGGCGAACUCUCUAGAACUCAUCUUCGAAUUGUUAGUGCAUCGAACUAUUUGUCUUCAUCAUUGCAUUGACAAUGGUCCACACGAACUCUUCUUCUCUCCGGCGUCUCUUGUAUCUUGUGAUACACUUGACUUACAAGCCUACCAAUUGCAUCUAAUCUUUCAGCAUUGUUCAAGCUAUCAAUAAGCUUCAUAAUGAUCUACCAGCUUGAACUUAGCUGUAUCCCUUUGUGGACCAGUUCAAGAGUUUGUUGCCAGAUAAUGCCUGCAGCUCGAGCUUUUCCUCUGGAAAAACUUAUGAAUGCACUUCAUUUAUAUCAAAAGAAUAGUCUGCAAAAAAUAUUUAUUGAGUACAUCAUGCUGGAUAUGGUGAAUGAUGAAGAGCCACAUGCUUACCAGCUUGGCACACUGCUAGAGACAUCUCAAGUGGUAAGCUCUUAAAUUUUAAAGUUGGAGCAUGGGGAAUAAUUUUGUUAUUUUGUCCUGAUAACAGCCUUUUUUACAUCUGUGCUAAUCUAUGGAUAAACUUCAUUGGUGAUUUUGGAAGGCCUAGAAAUUUCCUUUUAUUUCUUGGGAAAAGUUGUUUCAUUGGUAUUUAAUUUUCUUCCAAUAACCUUUGUGGUUUGAUUCUUUUCAUAUCUACUAGGCUUUAGUUUGAGUUUGUUUGUGCUCAGGGGGAAUGAAUUUUUUAAUCGCUUCCAUGGAGGUUGACUUCUGUGGUAACGUUUGUUUGCUGCUUCUUGCAUAAGAUUGGUGAAAGUUGAAUUGCAAUGGUUUGUAAUGGUUCGUCAAGCCAGGACUUGGUUUUGUGCAUCUGAUCUUGGAUUUCCUUUGCCUUUUACCAGUGAAUUAGAAAACUGGGAUAUUUCUUAAUACUUGUAAUGUUAAACUCCUGCUAGGUAACAAUUGACGUUGCAAGUCCAGAAGCAGGUGUGAUUAAAGAGGGAAUGCUGAAAUGUCUAUUCUUAUUACUUUUCUAGUUCUUUGCACAAUGGUUAUUUUUUCCCCCAUCUCUGCUGUGAUUAGAUUUAUUAAUGUUGAUGCUAGCUUCUGUGUUU